GGGCCCGUAGCCUAGCACGGAUUAAGGCGUCAGCCUUCGGAGCUGAAGACACGCGCCUCAGAGACCAUGGGUUCGAAUCCCACCGGGCCCG
rnacentral:tRNA from 1 species